AACAGAAGCCCACAGAUGACAGAUAUUCGCUUGACGAACCUUUUUCGACAACCAAACGAUGAAGUUAUUCUCAAUGACGAUGCAAUCCGGUUUUACGUCGCUGAAGGUGAAAUUUUGAGGGAAUAUAAAAGGGAAGAAAUGGUCAGAAAAAUUAAAAACAAAAAUAGAUCGUGGCUUUAAUGAGAGAAUUUAUGCCUGAUAUAUUUUUACUGCUACUUAUCUGUUGUGUAGAGGAUUUGGACCUGUGUAAACUUUCCUCAUUUCUGCACCAAAAAUUUCAUUUCCAUCCUUCUUCAUUGCAUUUCCUUUGGAGCCCUUAUGGAAUUUAACGGAAUUCAUAGCAGAAAAAGGAGCAUUUUGAUCUCUUUCUGCAUGACAUAGAUUAAUCUCCCACCGUGCAAGAAUCAGUAGAAGAAAACAAAAGAAGCAACUCAAUUCUCUGCCCAUGUUUUUAUCCUUCUUGUGAAAAUCUCAAGUCAUAAGGCAUGGGAUUCCGAUCCAAAAAAAGCAGCAGCCUUUUUGCUCUACUUUUACUUAUUUCUUCAGCCUAAAAAAAAAGAUGAUUUCUAGAUGUGGGUUGAAAACUGGAAAGGUUUUUUUAUAAAGUAUGUAGAACUUUUUGUUUUGCUUUGUUUUAGGUAGAUGCCUUGGAGUUUGAAGAAGAGAGCAGCAAUGUCAAUUGUAGGGUGGGGUUUGAAGAUUCAAUGUGCAUAGGUUUUGCUGCAGUGUAAUAUAAAUUAGUGUUAUCAGCUUACAAUUUUG
rnacentral:lncRNA from 1 species